UGGGGAAUAUUGGACAAUGGGCGCAAGCCUGAUCCAGCCAUGCCGCGUGAGUGAUGAAGGCCUUAGGGUUGUAAAGCUCUUUUGUCAGGGAAGAUAAUGACGGUACCUGAAGAAUAAGCACCGGCUAACUUCGUGCCAGCAGCCGCGGUAAUACGAAGGGUGCUAGCGUUGUUCGGAAUCACUGGGCGUAAAGCGCGCGUAGGCGGCUAUUCAAGUCAGAGGUGAAAGCCCGGGGCUCAACCCCGGAAUUGCCUUUGAAACUGCAUAGCUAGAGUGUCGGAGGGGAUAGCGGAAUUCCUAAUGUAGAGGUGAAAUUCGUAGAUAUUAGGAGGAACACCGGUGGCGAAGGCGGCUAUCUGGACGACAACUGACGCUGAGGCGCGAAAGCGUGGGGAUCAAACAGGAUUAGAUACCCCCGUAGUCC
rnacentral:rRNA from 1 species